AGGCUUCUGGUGUAACGGUAGCAUGGGCGCCUCCAAAGCGUUAAGGUUAGGGUUCAAAUCCUUAGGAGCCUG
rnacentral:tRNA from 1 species